rnacentral:rRNA from 1 species
AGAGAGAGACAUGCGCGCAUAUCAAUAAGCGGAGGAAAAGAAACUAACUAAGGAUUCCCUCAGUAACGGCGAGUGAAGCGGGAAGAGCUCAAAUUUGAAAUCUUCAAGGUUUUACCUUGACGAAUUGUAGUUUAAAGAAGUGUUUUCUGCUGAAGUUUUGGUAAAAGUUCUUUGGAAUAGGACAUCAUAGAGGGUGAGAAUCCCGUAUUUGACCAUUAUUUUCAGCUUUGUGAUACACUUUCAAAGAGUCGGAUUGUUUGGGAAUGCAGUCCAAAAUGGGUGGUAAAUUUCAUCUAAAGCUAAAUAUUGGCGAGAGACCGAUAGCGAACAAGUACCGUGAGGGAAAGAUGAAAAGAACUUUGAAAAGAGAGUUAAACAGUACGUGAAAUUGUCAAAAGGGAAGCGUUUGACACCAGUGUUGUUUUCUCGAAAAUCAAUUAAAAAUGGCUCGAUUUUGUAUUGCUGAGACCUUAAAAGCUCACUGUACAUUUUUCGUGUCUUUUUUAAUGCACUUUUCGUUUAACAAGUCAACAUCAGUUUCUUUUGUUGUAAAAGGGUCAUUGGAAGGUGGCUUUCUUUUCGGAGAAAGUGUUUAUAGCCUUAUGCCUCUACAAUCGGAGAGACUGAGGUCUGCAGCGUAGACUCUUCGGGGUUAGAUACAUUUGUGCUAAGUUAUAGCUUUUUAUAGACAACUUGUUGACUAUAAUUAGUCUUGUAGCUUACUCGCUUAUGCUAUUUUACCUACGCUUAGGAUGUUGAGUCGUAGAGCACGCAG